CGAAAGCCUGACGGAGCAACGCCGCGUGAGGGAUGAAGGCCUCUGGGCUGUAAACCUCUUUUCUCAAGGAAGAAGAUCUGACAGUACUUGAGGAAUAAGCCACGGCUAAUUCCGUGCCAGCAGCCGCGGUAAUACGGGAGUGGCAAGCGUUAUCCGGAAUUAUUGGGCGUAAAGCGUCCGCAGGCGGCCUUGUAAGUCUGUCGUUAAAGCGUGGAGCUUAACUCCAUUUAGGCGAUGGAAACUACAAGGCUUGAGUGUGGUAGGGGCAGAGGGAAUUCCCGGUGUAGCGGUGAAAUGCGUAGAUAUCGGGAAGAACACCAGUGGCGAAGGCGCUCUGCUGGGCCAUAACUGACGCUCAUGGACGAAAGCCAGGGGAGCG
rnacentral:rRNA from 1 species